CAGACCAUUUUUGUCCUCCAUUUUUAAAGUACAGAAUUUUCCAACAAAUUUACAAAAAUGCAGCUGUGGUUAGCUCUUAUCGUUGUAACGUGUUUGGUAAUUGCUGCAGUGGCGGCUCCUCAACUUUCGUUGGAUGUUACAAGUGGGAAAGUGAUUCUUACAGAAUUAGUUCCUGCUCAACCCAAUCCGUACAAUUUUAUUCCAAUUUAAAGUACAAAUAAAGUUCUCUCCUGAUUUGUAGAACAAAUUAAGAAAUGGAAAUCUAAAAGUCUGUAAAAAGGACGAUUUGAACAUUCUUAUGAAAAUCGAAUUGAAAUUUUAGAUUUUCAUUGCUUCAAAUACGAUAUAACGUACAUACCAUCUUCGUUGUAAACGCUGUUCGCAUAAACAAAUUGCAUUAAAAAUCAGUCAUCGUUA